rnacentral:tRNA from 1 species
GGCUGGAUAGCUCAGUUGGUAGAGCACUGGAACAGCAAUCCAGUGGUCACAGGUUCAAACCCUGCUCCAGUCA